AAAAAAGAAAAAAAGAGGACGCAAAACAGUAUCUCAAACGUCCUUCCCUCUCAUUCUCCUUCCCAAUCUCUCACGAUCGUCUUUCCAUCGCUCUCUCUCGUUAAAACUCUCUCACUCAAAAGCUCACACUAGCCUAAUCCUUCUUCUCUCCGUCUCGCUUUCACCCAUCCUCGCCCUCUUGCUCUCUAACAAAUACUCCAGAAAGAUUCAAGCCAAAAGAAACUCACCUUCGGUGGCGGCGACGGUGAUGAUGGAGCCUAAGCUUCACUAUUUCGCCUCUCUCUUCCAGGUAUGUACCGAUUUUUGGAUUUAGGGUUCUUUUUGUUCUCCGUUUUUCAAAUCCGCCUCCCUCUCUCAAUUUUUCGUCCUUUCACUAAUUCGCUUCGCUUCCUAUUUAUCUCCUCUGAUUAGGGUUUCAGAUUGAUGCUCAAAGGUUCGAAAGGAGAAAGUUUCCAGAAUCGCUUUUUG
rnacentral:lncRNA from 1 species